rnacentral:rRNA from 1 species
UAUGUGAUCGUCUCUCGCAUAUCAAUAAGCGGAGGAAAAGAAACUAACAAGGAUUCCCCUAGUAACGGCGAGUGAAGCGGGAAGAGCUCAAAUUUGAAAUCUUAAAGGGUUUCCCUCUACGAAUUGUAGUUUAAAGAAGUGUUUUCUGUUGAGGUUUUGGUAAAAGUUCUUUGGAAUAGGACAUCAUAGAGGGUGAGAAUCCCGUAUUUGACCUUUACUUUCAACUUUGUGAUACACUUUCAAAGAGUCGGAUUGUUUGGGAAUGCAGUCCAAAAUGGGUGGUAAAUUUCAUCUAAGGCUAAAUAUUGGCGAGAGACCGAUAGCGAACAAGUACCGUGAGGGAAAGAUGAAAAGAACUUUGAAAAGAGAGUUAAACAGUACGUGAAAUUGUCAAAAGGGAAGCGUUUGACACCAGUGUUGUUUUUCUGAAAAUCAAUUAAAGAACUGUUUAUGCUAAGUUGUUUAGACUUUAUCAGCUAUCUGUUUAGUUUUGAGCUUUUCUUUAAUGCACUUUUCAGUUAACAAGUCAACAUCAAUUUCUUUUGCUGUAAAAAAGCUUGAGGAAGGUGGCUUGAGAUUCGUCUUAAGUGUUUAUAGCCUCUUGCCUAUGCAGUCGGAGAGAUUGAGGUCUGCAGCGUAGAUCCUUCGGGGCUAAAUGCAUUUGUGCUAAGUUAUAGCAUUUUAUAGACAACUUGUUGACUAUGAUUUGUCUUGUAGCUUACUCGCUUAUGUUAUUUUACCUACGCUUAGGAUGUUGAUAUGCAUGACUGAUAU